GACGAACGCUGGCGGCGUGCUUAACACAUGCAAGUCGAACGGAGUGGCGAACGGGUGAGUAACACGUGGGUGAUCUGCCUUGCACUUCGGGAUCAGCUUGGGAAACUGGGUCUAAUCCCGGAUAGUGCACGAUGAGCUUGCUGCCGAUCAGCUGGUUGGUGGGGUAAUGGCCUACCAAGGCGUCGACGGGUAGCCGGCCUGCGAGGGUGUACGGCCACAUUGGGACGGAGAUACGGCGCAGUGUCCUACGGGAGGCAGCAGUGGGGAAUAUUGCACAAGGGGCGGAAGCCUGAUGCAGCGACGCGGCGGGGGUGAUGAAGGCCUUCGGGUUGUAAACUCCUUUCGACAGGGACGCGGUACCUGUAUGAGAAGCACCGGCUAACUACGUGCCAGCAGCCGCGGUAAUUC
rnacentral:rRNA from 1 species